CUGGUGCGGCGUGGCUGGCGCGGGCGCCCCUGCGGGCAUAGAGUGUUUGAGAAAGGCUGGCCAGGGAGUCCGUAGCAUUAACCCCCUUCUCUGCCUCACUCCGCCCUCUUCUCCCCCACCCGCGAAGGUGUGAGAGUGGAGGGAACCUUAUCUCAGACCAGAAGAGAUACAGGUCUCGGAGUGUGUUGAGCCGCAGGGGGCGCGGGGGAGCCCGGGGGGCGCCGAUGGCUUGGCAAAGUUGGGCGUGUGCGUGUGUUCCCCAGCCAGCCGUGAGCUAGCAGGCAGUCACCGUGGUUCCCCUCGCACUCCCCCUCCGGAGAAUUCCCCGAGAAGGCGGGCGCCGGCGUCGGCCCGGGGAAAGACCUGCGGCGGCGGCGGGAACGGCCACGCACAGAGAUGAACCAUCCAAUCUCCUGCCUGGAGUAUUGAAGCUUGACUACUGAAAUUCUGGAGCUGACUGUGGGAAAAGGAUUAAUGGUCUCAACAUUCAAAUGAAAGAGAAAGGGAUGUGCAGAUGGAGACUGGCCUCAGGCCCUACAGAGGGGAAAAAGGGAGAGCAUGUGUCAAUAUUAAGAGAGAGGAGGCAGAAGAUAGUGGCUCAAAGGUCAGCUGCAGGUAGGCACAUGUGUCAAAUCCUUGA